rnacentral:lncRNA from 1 species
UCUGGAAGUCAGGGGGCCCGGGGCAGGCUCUGUUCAGCCUCCCCUAAGCAACAUUCCAGGAUCCUGCGGAAAGACCCACCCAGGCCUGGGCCUUCCCUAGUCUGUGCACCACUGCGUUUGAGACGCUGGGCUGUGACCCCUGGCGGCAGCUCCACUCUGCUGGAGCUGGGGCUUGUUUUAAAUUAUGACCUAAAACUCUAAAACCCUCGCCUGUAAUCCCAGCACUUUGGGAGGCCGAGGCGGGUGGAUCACGAGGUCAGGAGAUAGAGACCAUCCUGGCUAACACUGCACUCCAGCCUGGGCGACAGAGCCAGACUCCGUCUCAAAACAAACAAACAAACAAACAAAACACUCUAAAACCCUCAAAGGAAAACACAAGCCUCUUGAUGUUAGACUUGGUAGUGAUUUCUUGAUUUCUUGGGUAUGACAGGAAAAGGACAGGCAGAAACGUGUAAAAUAGAUACAUGGGGCUUUACAAACAAGAAUGAAUAGAAUGAAAGGCAACACAUGGACUGGGAG